GAUGAAGAACGUAGCGAAAUGCGAUAAGUAAUGUGAAUUGCAGAAUUCAGUGAAUCAUCGAAUCUUUGAACGCACCUUGCGCUCCUUGGUAUUCCGAGGAGCAUGCCUGUUUGAGUGUCAUUAAAUUCUCAACCUCACCCAUUUUGUCAUGAAGUGGCUUGUGUAGGCUUGGAUGUGGGGGCUUGCAGGUCCGACCUUCUGGGUUGGUCUGCUCCUCUGAAAUGCAUUAGUGGGUUGUGCCCCUAAUCUAUUGGUGUGAUAAUUAUCUACGCCGUGGAUCAGGAUUGGCGAUCAAUGACCUGCUGACAACCGUCCGUCUCGGACAGCUUUGACAUUUUUGACCUCAGAUCAGGUAAGACUACCCGCUGAACUUAAGCAUAUCAAUAAGCGGAGGA
rnacentral:misc_RNA from 1 species